GCUGGGCAUGGUGGCGCGUGCCUGUAAUCCCAGCUACUCAGGAGGCUGAGGCAGGAGAAUUGCCUGAACCCAGGAGGUGUAGGUUGCAGUGAGCCAAGAUGGUGCCAUUGCACUCUAGCCUGGGUAACAAGAGCAAAACUCCGUCUCAA
rnacentral:sRNA from 13 species